UACGUAGGGACCGAGCGUUGUCCGGAUUCAUUGGGCGUAAAGAGCUCGUAGGCGGCUGUUCAAGUCGAACGUGAAAACUCGGGGCUCAACUCCGAGCCUGCGUUCGAUACUGGACGGCUAGAGUCUGGUAGGGGGAUCUGGAAUUCCUGGUGUAGCGGUGGAAUGCGCAGAUAUCAGGAAGAACACCCGUGGCGAAGGCGGUUCUCUGGGACGGUACUGACGCUGAGACGCGAAAGCGUGGGGAGCGAACAGG
rnacentral:rRNA from 1 species